rnacentral:rRNA from 1 species
UACGGAGGGUGCGAGCGUUGUCCGGAAUCACUGGGCGUAAAGAGCUCGUAGGUGGUUUGUCGCGUUGUUCGUGAAAACUCACAGCUCAACUGUGGGCGUGCGGGCGAUACGGGCAGACUAGAGUACUGCAGGGGAGACUGGAAUUCCUGGUGUAGCGGUGGAAUGCGCAGAUAUCAGGAGGAACACCGGUGGCGAAGGCGGGUCUCUGGGCAGUAACUGACGCUGAGGAGCGAAAGCGUGGGGAGCGAACAGG